CUACGGGGUGCUGCAGUUAGGAAUAUUGGACAAUGGGCGCAAGCCUGAUCCAGCCAUGCCGCGUGUGUGAUGAAGGCCUUCGGGUUGUAAAGCACUUUAGCCGACGAAUAUAAUGACUGUAGUCGGAGAAUAAGCCCCGGCUAACUUCGUGCCAGCAGCCGCGGUAAUACGAAGGGGGCGAGCGUUAUUCGGAAUCACUGGGCGUAAAGCGUAUGUAGGCGGUUUGAUAAGUUAGGAGUGAAAGCCCGGGGCUCAACCUCGGAAUUGCUCUUAAAACUAUUAGACUAGAAUUCGGUAGAGGAUGGCGGAAUUAUCAGUGUAGCAGUGAAAUGCGUAGAUAUUGAUAGGAACACCAGUGGCGUAGGCGGCUAUCUGGACCGAAAUUGACGCUGAGAUACGAAAGCGUGGGGAGCGAACAGGAUUAGAUACCCCAGUAGUC
rnacentral:rRNA from 1 species